rnacentral:rRNA from 1 species
GAUGAACGCUGACAGAAUGCUUAACACACGCAAGUCAUUGGCGAAGCUGCGCUUGCGCAGUCUAGCCAAGGCGGACGGGUGGGUAACGCGUAAGGAACUUGCCCUGCAGACAGGGAUAACAGACGGAAACGACUGAUAACACCUGGUAUUGUCAGGCUGGCGCAUGCCGGCCUGAUGAAAGGAGACGCUGCAGGAGAGCCUUGCGUCCUAUUAGCUAGUUGGUGGGGUAACGGCCCACCAAGGCGAUGAUAGGUAGCCGGCCUGAGAGGGUGAACGGCCACAAGGGGACUGAGAUACGGCCCUUACUCCUACGGGAGGCAGCAGUGGGGAAUAGUGGACAAUGGGGGCAACCCUGAUCCAGCAAUUCUGUGUGCACGAAGAAGGUUUUCGGAUUGUAAAGUGCUUUCAGCAGGGAAGAAGAAAGUGACGGUACCUGCAGAAGAAGCGACGGCUAAAUACGUG